GAUGAACGCUGGCGGCGUGCCUAAUACAUGCAAGUCGAGCGAACGGACGAGAAGCUUGCUUCUCUGAUGUUAGCGGCGGACGGGUGAGUAACACGUGGAUAACCUACCUAUAAGACUGGGAUAACUUCGGGAAACCGGAGCUAAUACCGGAUAAUAUUUUGAACCGCAUGGUUCAAAAGUGAAAGACGGUCUUGCUGUCACUUAUAGAUGGAUCCGCGCUGCAUUAGCUAGUUGGUAAGGUAACGGCUUACCAAGGCAACGAUGUAUAGCCGACCUGAGAGGGUGAUCGGCCACACUGGAACUGAGACACGGUCCAGACUCCUACGGGAGGCAGCUGUAGGGAAUCUUCCGCAAUGGGCGAAAGCCUGACGGAGCAACGCCGCGUGAGUGAUGAAGGUCUUCGGAUCGUAAAACUCUGUUAUUAGGGAAGAACAUAUGUGUAAGUAACUGUGCACAUCUUGACGGUACCUAAUCAGAAAGCCACGGCUAACUACGUG
rnacentral:rRNA from 1 species